ensembl:snRNA U4 U4 spliceosomal RNA
AGCUGUGUGCAGUGGCAGUAUUAUAGCCAAUUAGGUUUAUCUGAGGUGUGAUUAUUGCUAAUUGAAAAUUUUUCCCAAUAGCCUGCCAUGACAACGUGCAGGGAAGUCAGCACCAGCAAUUUCCAAUGGUCUCUACCA